rnacentral:rRNA from 1 species
AUUGAACGCUGGCGGCAGGCCUAACACAUGCAAGUCGAGCGGAGCGGCGGACGGGUGAGUAAUGCCUAGGAAUCUGCCUGGUCGUGGGGGAUAACGUCCGGAAACGGGCGCUAAUACCGCAUACUAUCAGAUUAGCCUAGGUCGGAUUAGCUCGUUGGUGGGGUAAAGGCCUACCAGGGCUACUAUCCGUAACUGGUCUGAGAGGACGAUCAGUAAACCUGGAACGGAUACAGGGUCCAGACUCCUACGGGAGGCAGCAGUGGGGAAUAUUGGACAAUGGGCGAAAGCCUGAUCCAGCCAUGCCGCGUGGGUGAAGAAGGUCUUCGGAUUGUAAAGCACUUUAAGUUGGGAGGCGUUACCAACAGAGUAAGCACCGGCUAACUUCGUGCCAGCAGCCGCGGUAAUUC